rnacentral:rRNA from 1 species
CCUACGGGGCGCUGCAGUGGGGAAUAUUGGACAAUGGGCGAAAGCCUGAUCCAGCCAUGCCGCGUGUGUGAAGAAGGCCUUCGGGUUGUAAAGCACUUUCGGUGGGGAAGAAAGCCUUGGGGCUAAUACCCUCGAGGAAGGACAUCACCCACAGAAGAAGCACCGGCUAACUCCGUGCCAGCAGCCGCGGUAAUACGGAGGGUGCGAGCGUUAAUCGGAAUUACUGGGCGUAAAGCGCGCGUAGGCGGUCUGAUAAGCCGGUUGUGAAAGCCCCGGGCUCAACCUGGGAACGGCAUCCGGAACUGUCAGGCUAGAGUGCAGGAGAGGAAGGUAGAAUUCCCGGUGUAGCGGUGAAAUGCGUAGAGAUCGGGAGGAAUACCAGUGGCGAAGGCGGCCUUCUGGACUGACACUGACGCUGAGGUGCGAAAGCGUGGGUAGCAAACAGGAUUAGAUACCCCAGUAGUC